rnacentral:sRNA from 1 species
GCCAGGCCUGGUGGUGCAUGCCUGUAGUCUCAGCUACUCAGGGGGCUGAGGCGGGAGGAUUGCUUGAGGCCGGGAGUUUGAGACCAGCCUGGGCAACACAGGAAGACCCCAUCUCUACAGAAAGAAAAAAAUUUUUAAUUAAAUUGUUUUGAAAAGAGCUGGGCCCAGUGGCUCACGCCUGUAAUUCCAGCACUUCGGGAGGCUGAGGCAGGUGGAUCACCUGAGAUCAGGAGUUCGAGACCAGCCUGGCCAACAUGGCAAAACCCCGUCUCU